GCCGCUUUAGCGUAGUGGUUAUCGCGUCGCACUUGUAUGAUGAAUACGUAAUGCGAAGGUCACUCGUUCAACUCGGGUAGGUGGCA